GUGGGGAAUAUUGGACAAUGGGCGAAAGCCUGAUCCAGCCAUGCCGCGUGUGUGAAGAAGGUCUUCGGAUUGUAAAGCACUUUAAGUUGGGAGGAAGGGCAGUAAGUUAAUACCUUGCUGUUUUGACGUUACCGACAGAAUAAGCACCGGCUAACUUCGUGCCAGCAGCCGCGGUAAUACGAAGGGUGCAAGCGUUAAUCGGAAUUACUGGGCGUAAAGCGCGCGUAGGCGGCUUUACAAGUCGGAUGUGAAAUCCCCGGGCUUAACCUGGGAACUGCAUUCGAGACUGCGUUGCUAGAGUAUGGGAGAGGGAAGUGGAAUUUCCUGUGUAGCGGUGAAAUGCGUAGAUAUAGGAAGGAACACCAGUGGCGAAGGCGACUACCUGGACUGAUACUGACACUGAGGUGCGAAAGCGUGGGGAGCAAACAGGAUUAGAAACCCGAGUAGUCC
rnacentral:rRNA from 1 species